AUUAACUAGGGAGAUAAAACGCGCGCGGCAAGCCGCAAGCGCUAGUGAGAAAAUUGAUUUGUUGACCAACUCUUGAGUACCAACAGCUAACCAGCAGACAGUUGGUAUUGCAACACUGUUUCCCGAUUGGUUCGUCAAAAGAUUCUUCGUUCAGGCCGAACGAAAUAGCCAGCGCUGAAAGGUUUUUUGUCUUUUUUGGCGCAGUUUGGACUGAAAGACUUUAACCAGUUCUUUAAUAAGAGAGAUGAAACCUGAUCUGCAUCAGAAUAAAGGACAAAAUUGACAUAUCCAGUGACACUUAAUAAUUAAGUGAUCGCCGGCCAAGACGAAAAGCUGUGUUUGGUUUCUUGCUUAGGAUGUGUAUCCCCAAAAAAUUUUUACUUUUCGCCUGUACGAGCUCAGGUACGCUGAUUUCAAAGUUUCCCAUAUACUCCUUUUUUUAUUAAUCCAUCCUCGAGCGAAAAAAGCUGAGAAAAAGUUCAGUUUUUAAAGCAAGCCACCAGAAGCCGUUUGUAGUGGUUCUUAGCACCAGCAUUCACUUGAAAGUUCUUCCUCAACAAUUAUGCGUGCACAUGCGCAGUCAUUAAAAUUCUCGACACCUUGACGGAUGUUUAUUAACUCUUUGAUCCCUGUCUUUAUCUUGUCUUCUUAAAUGAGCACGUGGUUUCUGUUAUUCCUCGGGUUUCAUCCCAUCCCAAUUUUACAAGCAUUCGUGGUGGAUGAUUUGCAUGGCCCAUGACGCCCUUUGACCAGAACAAGCUAAUUUUCCGGGGUCACGUUUGCAUUACGGUUUCAGUCCUCUUCCACCGACCAUGAAAAAUUCAACGCUUGAUUAGCUAGGGAACAAUGGAUAAUACCGGUACCGUGAACGACAGGUCGAUAACCUUUUGCCUAUUCUUACAUCAGAGGUAGAUAACGAGGGUUGCUCUCUUGUCUUUUGCCCCGUAGUAUAAUAACAACAAAGAACGUUUCUCCUGGGUGGAAAAGGCUAUUGAAAGAAGGAAAAUGAGGCUUAGAUUUUUCGUAUUUCUCGUGCUUUUAGGUCUAACUCUUUCCACAUUGAAUGUGGAUGCCAAGUCACUAAAAGGAAAACACAAGAAAUCCAAGCACGAUGAAGGCAAGAAACAGGAUGAUGAAGCUGCUGCCGCAGAAGAACCCGCAGCCGAAGAAGCUGGAGCUGCCUCAGGCAGUGCUGCUGGUAAGUAGGACCGCUGUGGAUAAUGCGAAACUUUGGUCCCUGUACAAUCUCAGAACUUAGCAUAAAAUAGUGGCUUAACACCUAAGUCC